rnacentral:lncRNA from 1 species
UCCUUUUCUGAUUUUCUGCGAUCAAUCUCAGUGCAAUUUUGUCUUCGAUUCGUUUUAGGUAAUCUUUCCUUUUCUAUGUUGUUUUCAUUCCAGGUUUCAUUUCUUUUCUUCAAUUCCGGUCCUCUAAUUCAAUUGCAAUCUUUCAAGUCAAUUUCCCGUUGUUUCAAUUCAAGUUUCAUUUCAUUCUGUAAACUUCUAUUCAGUUCAUAAUCUCCUGAAGUUUGUAUUUCAUCCGAUUAUCUUUAUGUUCUGUUUGUUCUUUCGAUUACACCAAAUUCUUCAUACAUGUUGUAAACUAGAUUUCUAAUUCUUUCUUGUUAAAUCUUUCUUUAGUUCUGUUGUAUUAAUU